ACGGGAAUAGCUCAGUUGGUAGAGCAUCGGUCUCCAAAACCGAGGGUCGUGGGUUCGAGUCCUGCUUCCCGUGCUA
rnacentral:tRNA from 5 species